rnacentral:rRNA from 1 species
GACAGAGGGUGCAAACGUUGCUCGGAAUUACUGGGCGUAAAGGGCGCGUAGGCGGCGGGGUAAGUCGGGUGUGAAAUCUCAGGGCUCAACCCUGAAACUGCACUCGAUACUGCUCUGCUUGAGGACUGGAGAGGAGACUGGAAUUCACGGUGUAGCAGUGAAAUGCGUAGAUAUCGUGAGGAAGACCAGUGGCGAAGGCGGGUCUCUGGACAGUUCCUGACGCUGAGGCGCGAAGGCCAGGGGAGCAAACGGG